UCAUUUGCUGCCUCAAACAACAAAUUGAGAAAUGUUCUCUCCCUAUUCUCUGGAAGAAUUUAUGGAAGAUGGUUUUGUUUCUCUCUUAAGUGUUUGGUGGACUUUAUUGGUGAAGUCAUCAAGACCUGGAGUCUUCUUUGGGUUUGAAGGAUGUCAUCUUUAAAUGCCGCAUAAUGAAAAGGGCAAAGCUGCAACAGAGAAAUCUGCAUUUAAAUCCUGGCUUCACCACUGGCUGGCCGUGUGAACUUGGCCAAAUUACUUCCCCUGCCUUUCCUGAGCUUGAAGGUCAUCAUCCGUUAACAGGGAGACUAGUGUGUACUUCCUAAGGCAGCUGUGUUGCGAUGAUACGUGUAAGAUACUGCGU